GCGCUUGUAGCUCAGCUGGAUAGAGCAACGGCCUUCUAAGCCGUAGGUCACAGGUUCAAGUCCUGUCAAGCGCACCA
rnacentral:tRNA from 1 species